rnacentral:tRNA from 1 species
CAAAGAAUAGUUUAAAUUAGAACCCUAGCUUUGGGAGUUAGAGGUGGA